GGCGCGGUGGCGAAAUUGGCAGACGCGCAGGUCUCAAAAACCUGUGAGGGGUAAUACCUCGUGUCGGUUCGACCCCGACCCGCGCCA
rnacentral:tRNA from 1 species